rnacentral:rRNA from 1 species
UACGAAGGGUGCAGACGUUGCUCGGAAUUAUUGGGCGUAAAGCGCACGUAGGCGGCUUUGCAAGUCCCAUGUGAAAUCCCACGGCUCAACCGUGGAAGUGCAUGGGAAACUGCAGAGCUUGAGUACUUAAGAGGAUCGCGGAAUUCCCGGUGUAGAGGUGAAAUUCGUAGAUAUCGGGAGGAACACCAGUGGCGAAGGCGGCGAUCUGGGAAGAUACUGACGCUGAGGUGCGAAAGCGUGGGGAGCGAACAGG